AACUGUUCAAUAGUUUGAUAUCUUUUACUAUUUAAGACACCUUACAGCUUCUCAUGGCAACGAUCAACUAGAAUCGAAGCUAAACCGGGAAAAAAUGGACAAAAUGAGGACCAUCUCAUCAGACCCAGCGACAUGACACCAGCUUGAACUCGCUGGGAAAUCUUUCACCCUCAAUUGAAAUGACUGGAUUUCAUCUGCGAAAAUUUCCCAAACAACUUGUGGCCGCACAUUUAGUAAAUGAAAAUGAGUCUGUGAUGUUCUACGUCUAAGUCGCGUCAAAUAUCGGCAAUCUAGUUUUUUUUUAUUAUUAUUAUUAUUUUCAGUCGCAUUUUGUAGUUCCAUCAGCCGAGUGAUCGACGCUAAUGGAAAACAACAAAAGGGGCUCUAUAUGAAACACUGGCGUUCUGGACUCGAUUAAAAAAAAACCUUUAUGCAAAAAAGAUUCUAUAUAAGGAGAAAGGUCUUAAAUGAUUGCAUAAUGUUUAAUGUUGGGUUAUUGUUUUUUUUCUGGCAAUUAAGUAUGUUGAUUCUCCAACUUUAUUCAAAAUAAACUAUGAUUAAAUAAUUUAAAUUCAUAAAAUGAUCUCAUGAUAGAUUCCCAUAAAUGAAGCCCCUGACAGAACCCUUAAAGCCCCACGGAAGUGCGCAGCAUUAUGUAGAGUUGACUUCAUUUCCUCUGAAACAGGAACACAGGUAAUGGCAUAUCAAUCAGCGCCUCCCCUUUUAUGAAAUAGCCAAUAGCGUUUAGCUCAUAUCAAAGCUCUAAUGUGAAGCCAGACUUCAUUCGCCCCAAUGGAGAGCACAUUUACACUGACUGAAGCCACAGCUUCAGCGUCUAUUUUUAAUGUAUAGGGCGGGACACAAAUAGUCAUAGUUUUGGAGCACACUAGCUUAUAGAUAACAUAUUCAAACGAAAAGACAAAAAACUUCCAGUCUGAUUUCACGGGGACUUUAAAGCUUCCAUCUAUAGAAACGCUUCUUCUGAUUGAAGAAUCUCACAGCCUCAUUUUCAUUUGUGUAAAAUUAAGUAUUGGUGACUACGCUUCAUUUGAUAAAACAAGAGAAAGAAAGACAACAGGCACCUGAUCUCUGGGGGAGGAGGAGGAAACUCUUGGUCCACAUCAUCAUACACAUCUGAGGACAGCAGAACCCAAACACAUCAGUGCACGAAGACUCUCAAAGCAAUGCAUGAACCCGUCUGAAAGACUAGCCUGUGUGCGCUAACUCACCGUCGCUGUGGAAACUGCUGCAAAGAGAAGAAAACACACACCAUGAGCUCACGCGUUUGAGUGGUCAGGCGCAUGUGUGUGUGUUCGCGGGGUCUCACCUGUCGUGCGCGCCGCUGGAGCCGAUGUCGUCGUAGCAUUCUGGGUCCGCAGACGGGGCGGCUUGGCCACGGAUCUUACGCUUCACUUCCUCAUAAUCCACAUCCACACACGAGUUACUGAUGUAGCCCACUGCAAUGGUUUCGCGCCAGCCAUUUCCCCUCGGGGUUGUUGUUGACGCGGAUGAUCUCCACGCUCUCGCCCUGCCGCACCAUCAGGUCACUCUUCCCGCC